rnacentral:rRNA from 1 species
GAUGAACGCUGGCGGCGUGCUUAACACAUGCAAGUCGAACGGGAUCCCAGGAGCUUGCUCCUGGGUGAGAGUGGCGAACGGGUGAGUAAUGCGUGACCGACCUGCCCCAUACACCGGAAUAGCUCCUGGAAACGGGUGGUAAUGCCGGAUGCUCCAGUUGACCGCAUGGUCCUCUGGGAAAGCUUUUGCGGUAUGGGAUGGGGUCGCGUCCUAUCAGCUUGAUGGCGGGGUAACGGCCCACCAUGGCUUCGACGGGUAGCCGGCCUGAGAGGGCGACCGGCCACAUUGGGACUGAGAUACGGCCCAGACUCCUACGGGAGGCAGCAGUGGGGAAUAUUGCACAAUGGGCGCAAGCCUGAUGCAGCGACGCCGCGUGCGGGAUGACGGCCUUCGGGUUGUAAACCGCUUUUGACUGGGAGCAAGCCC